rnacentral:rRNA from 1 species
UACGUGGGGUGCGAGCGUUGUCCGGAAUUAUUGGGCGUAAAGAGCUCGUAGGCGGUGUGUCACGUCGUUCGUGAAAACCUGCAGCUUAACUGUGGGCGUGCGGUCGAUACGGGCAUCACUGGAGUUCGGUAGGGGAGAUCGGAAUUCCUGGUGUAGCGGUGAAAUGCGCAGAUAUCAGGAGGAACACCGGUGGCGAAGGCGGAUCUCUGGGCCGAUACUGACGCUGAGGAGCGAAAGCGUGGGGAGCGAACAGG